rnacentral:rRNA from 1 species
CCAGACUCCUACGGGAGGCAGCAGUGAGGAAUAUUGGUCAAUGGCCGGAAGGCUGAACCAGCCAAGUCGCGUGAGGGAAUAAGGCCCUAUGGGUCGUAAACCUCUUUUGUCAGGGAGCAAAGGCGUCCACGUGUGGACGAGAGGAGAGUACCUGAAGAAAAAGCAUCGGCUAACUCCGUGCCAGCAGCCGCGGUAAUACGGAGGAUGCGAGCGUUAUCCGGAUUUAUUGGGUUUAAAGGGUGCGUAGGCGGAAUGCCAAGUCAGCGGUAAAAUCGCGGGGCUCAACCUCGCUCCGCCGUUGAAACUGGCGUUCUUGAGUGGGCGAGAAGUAUGCGGAAUGCGUGGUGUAGCGGUGAAAUGCAUAGAUAUCACGCAGAACUCCGAUUGCGAAGGCAGCAUACCGGCGCCCAACUGACGCUGAAGCACGAAAGCGUGGGUAUCGAACAGGAUUAGAUACCCCAGUA